UACGUAGGGCGCAAGCGUUGUCCGGAAUUAUUGGGCGUAAAGAGCUCGUAGGCGGCUUGUCACGUCGGGUGUGAAAGCCCGGGGCUUAACCCCGGGUCUGCAUUCGAUACGGGCAGGCUAGAGUGUGGUAGGGGAGAUCGGAAUUCCUGGUGUAGCGGUGAAAUGCGCAGAUAUCAGGAGGAAUACCCAUAGCGAAGGCAGCUCGCUGGGACGGUACUGACGCUGAGGCGCGAAAGCGUGGGGAGCGAACAGG
rnacentral:rRNA from 1 species